ACUUUGAUGGCAAGUCUAUAAACGAAUUUCUGGUGAAGUAUCCUAUGCUAAAUUUAGAAGACAUUGAAUGGAAAAACCUUGUUAUGCACUGGUCUCGUUCCGAGGAUGAGGAAAUCUGCUCGAAAAAGAAUUCCGGUUUGAAAAGAACGACAGGAUAUCGCAAAUAUGUUGCCCGCUGCUUUGCUCUUGUUAGUACCUGUUGUCCUGUAUCACUGUACUUGCAUACAUACCUGGUUCAUUAUGUGACAGCAGUAUGCAUGAUAGAUUUUUUAUCAAUUGUUCGUUCCAAAUUAUCUGAUCUGUAUGAAUGGUUACAUUAGUGUAGAAUAUAUCCAAUGCCAAUGAAAAAUUUUAGCUCUGCAUUGUUCUUGUAAGUACCUGUUGUCCUUUAUCAGUGUACUUAUAUUGACAGGUAGUUGUUCAUGUA